rnacentral:rRNA from 1 species
UCAAUAAGCGGAGGAAAAGAAACCAACAGGGAUUGCCCUAGUAACGGCGAGCGAAGCAACAGCUCAAAUUUGAAAUCUGGUCUUCUGGGCCCGAGUUGUAAUUUGCAGAGGAUGCUUUUCGCGAGGCGCCUUCCGAGUUCCCUGGAACGGGACGCCAUAGAGGGUGAGAGCCCCGUACGGUCGGAUUGCCGAGCCUCUGUAUAGCUCCUUCAACGAGUCGAGUAGUUUGGGAAUGCUGCUCUAAAUGGGAGGUCAAUCUCUUCUAAAGCUAAAUACGCAGAGACGAUAGCGCACAAGUAGAGUGAUCGAAAGAUGAAAAGCACUUUGAAAAGAGGGUUAAAUAGCACGUGAAAUUGUUGAAAGGGAAGCGCUUGUGACCAGACUUGUGCCCGGCGUUUAGCUAGCGUUCUCGCUAGUCGACUUCGCCGGGCUCAGGCCAGCAUCAGUUCGUCGUCGGGGAGAAAGACGGUGGGAAUGUAGCUCCCUCGGGAGUGUUAUAGCCUGCCGUGUAAUACCCUUCUUCGGACUGAGGUUCGCGCAUCUGCAAGGAUGCUGGCGUAAUGGUCACAGGACGCCCGUCUUGAAACACGGACCAAGGAGUCAACCUUAUGUGCAAGUGUUCGGGUGUUAAACCCCUAGCGCGGAAUGAAAGUGAACGUAGAAGAGAGCUUCGGGCGCAUCUUCGACCGAUCCUGAUGUUCUCGGAUGGAUUUGAGUAAGAGCACACAGGGUUGGACCCGAAAGAAGGUGAACUAUGCUUGUAUAGGGUGAAGCCAGAGGAAACUCUGGUGGAGGCUCGCAGCGGUUCUGACGUGCAAAUCGAUCGUCAAAUAUGAGCAUGGGGGCGAAAGACUAAUCGAACCUUCUAGUAGCUGGUUCCAGCCAAUUUCCCUCAGGAUAGCAGUGUUGAACUUCAGUUUUUAUGAGGUAAAGCGAAUAUUAGGGACUCGGGGGCGCUAUUUAGCCUUCAUCCAUUCUCAAACUUUAAAUAUGUAAGAAGCCCUUGUUACUUAAUUGAACGUGGGCGUUAGAAUGUAUCAACACUAGUGGGCCAUUUUUGGUAAGCAGAACUGG